UCAGCUCGUGUCGUGAGAUGUGGUUAGUCCGCAACGAGCGCAACCCUUGUCAUUAGUUGCCAUCAUUAGUUGGGGCACUCUAAUGAGACUGCCGGUGGACAAACCGGAGGAAGGUGGGGAUGACGUCAAGUCCUCAUGGCCCUUAUGGGUAGGGCUUCACACGUCAUACAAUGGUCGGUACAGAGGGUUGCCAAGCCGCGAGGUGGAGCCAAUCCCUUAAAGCCGAUCGUAGUCCGGAUCGUAGUCUGCAACUCGACUACGUGAAGUCGGAAUCGCUAGUAAUCGUGGAUCAGAAUGUCACGGUGAAUACGUUCCCGGGUCUU
rnacentral:rRNA from 1 species